rnacentral:rRNA from 1 species
AAAGUUUGAUCCUGGCUCAAGAUGAACGCUAACUACAGGCUUAACACAUGCAAGUCAAGGGGCACCAUGGUCUUAUCUUGCUAACGACGAUGGCAACCGGCGCACAGGUGAGAAACACUUAUCCAAACUGCCUUCUACUCUUGGACACCCUUCUGAAAGGAAAAUUAAUACAAGAAUGGCAUCAUGAAGUCCGCAUGUUUCACAUGAUUAAAGGUAUUUCCGGUAGACGAUGGGGAUGCGUUCCAUUAGAUAGUAGGCGGGGUAACGGCCCACCUAAUCUUCUAUGGAUAGGGGUUCUGAGAGGAAGGUCCCCCACAUUGGAACUGAGACACGGUCCAAACUCCUACGGGAGGCAGCAGUGAGGAAUAUUGGUCAAUGGGCGCAGGCCUGAACCAGCCAAGUAGCGUGAAGGAUGACUGCCCUAUGGGUUGUAAACUUCUUUUAUAAAGGAAUAAAGUCGGGUAUGUAUACCCGUUUGCAUGUACUUUAUGAAUAAGGAUCGGCUAACUCCGUGCCAGCAGCCGCGGUAAUACGGAGGAUCCGAGCGUUAUCCGGAUUUAUUGGGUUUAAAGGGAGCGUAGAUGGAUGUUUAAGUCAGUUGUGAAAGUUUGCGGCUCAACCGUAAAAUUGCAGUUGAUACUGGAUAUCUUGAGUGCAGUUGAGGCAGGCGGAAUUCGUGGUGUAGCGGUGAAAUGCUUAGAUAUCACGAAGAACUCCGAUUGCGAAGGCAGCCUGCUAAGCUGCAACUGACAUUGAGGCUCGAAAGUGUGGGUAUCAAACAGGACUAGAUACCCUGGUAGUCCACACGGUAAAC